GUAUUUUCUUUGGCAGCACAUAUAUUAAAUUUGGAAUGAAACAGAGAAGAUUAGCAUGUCCCCUAUGCAAAGAUGACAUGUGAAUUCAUGAAGCAUUCCAUAUUUUU
rnacentral:snRNA from 1 species